rnacentral:tRNA from 2 species
GCAGUCGUGGCCGAGUGGUUAGGACGAUGGACUAGAAAUCCAUUGGGGUCUCCCCGCACAGGUUUGAAUCCUGUCGACUGCG